rnacentral:lncRNA from 1 species
CUCUCACUAAACCAGCUCAUCAACCCCGGCCGUUUCUUCUUCCUCCAGAGGCACUUCGGGCCUUCCAUCACCUCAUCAGUCUCUUCACCUCUGCUCCUAUUCUUCGCCACCCGGACCCGGCCGAGCAGUUCGUUGUCGAGGUGGACGCGUCCGAUGUGGGCGCGGGUGCUGUUCUCUCGCAACGUGGUCCAGACAGGAAGCUCCAUUCAUGUUGCUUCUUCUCCCGUAAGUUCUCUCCCACUCAGCAGCGUUACGGGGUUGGGGACCGUGAGCUGCUGGCCAUCAAGUGGGCUCUGGAGGAGUGGCGGCACUGGCUCCAGGGGGCUGUUGAGCCAUUCCUGAUCUGGACCGACCACCAGAACCUGAUCCACAUCCGCUCAGCCAAACAGCUCAACCCCCGCCAGGCUCGUUGGGCUUUGUUUUUUGAAUCUUUCGAUUUCCAGCUGGCCUACCGUCCUGGAUCCAAGAACACUAAGGCAGACGCCCUCUCCUGGCAAUUUUCUUCUUCUGUCCCGGAUCCGGAUCCGGACCCUAUCAUACCUGGUGAGCGGAUCGUCGCGCCUCUUCGUUGGCCUCUGGAGGACUCCAUCCGGCGUGCGCUGCCUGGGGAGCCGGCUCCUCCGGAGACGCCACCUGGUCGUCUUUAUGUUCCCUCCUGCUGCCGCCAAGAGGCUCUGCUUUGGGCCCACUCCUCUCCGCUCUCGGGGCAUCCAGGUCCGGCCCGUACCCUUCGCCUCCUCCAGCGCGCUUUGUGGUGGCCCUCCAUGCGGCGAGACCUCCGAGAAUUCACCUCCGCUUGUGAGACCUGCGCUCGGUCGAAGUCUUCUCCCUCUCCUCCGGUUGGUGAUCUGCGUCCUCUCCUGGUUCCCUGGCGCCCGUGGUCACAUGUGGGAUUGGACUUUGUCACCAGUCUCCCUCCCGUGGACGGGAAGGACACCAUCCUCACCAUCGUGGACCGGUUCUCCAAAGCAGUGCACCUUGUGGCUUUGUCCAGACUCCCC